rnacentral:rRNA from 1 species
UACGUAGGGGGGCAAGCGUUGUCCGGAAUUAUUGGGCGUAAAGAGCGCGUAGGCGGUCCGGUAAGUCGGUUGUGAAAGUCGGGGGGCUCAACCCUCGGAUGCCGAUCGAUACUGUCGGGCUAGAGUCCGGAAGAGGCGAGUGGAAUUCCCUGGUGUAGCGGUGAAAUGCGCAGAUAUCAGGAAGAACACCCAUGGCGAAGGCGGC